AGAGUUUGAUCCUGGCUCAGAUUGAACGCUGGCGGAAUGCUUUACACAUGCAAGUCGAACGGCAGCAUAGGUGCUUGCACCUGAUGGCGAGUGGCGAACGGGUGAGUAAUACAUCGGAACGUGCCCAGUCGUGGGGGAUAACGUAGCGAAAGUUACGCUAAUACCGCAUACGAUCUACGGAUGAAAGCGGGGGACCGUAAGGCCUCGCGCGAUUGGAGCGGCCGAUGUUAGAUUAGGUAGUUGGUGGGGUAAAGGCUCACCAAGCCGACGAUCUAUAGCUGGUCUGAGAGGAUGAUCAGCCACACUGGGACUGAGACACGGCCCAGACUCCUACGGGAGGCAGCAGUGGGGAAUUUUGGACAAUGGGGGCAACCCUGAUCCAGCCAUGCCGCGUGAGUGAAGAAGGCCUUCGGGUUGUAAAGCUCUUUCGGCCGGGAAGAAAUCGCACAGGCUAAUAUCCUGUGUGGAUGACGGUACCGGCAUAAGAAGCACCGGCUAACUACGUGCCAGCAGCCGCGGUAAU
rnacentral:rRNA from 1 species